UCUCUUCCUAAACGGGGUGUGAACUGCGUUACCUGACGUUUAUCUGAUCCUGAAAAUUUCAAAGUUAUUGUAAUAACGAAAUCAUAUAAUUAAAAGAAGCAGAACGUUGACUGUUUAAUACAAGCUUUGGAUAUUUUGCGUUUCAAAAAUCCGCAAUCUAAGGAGAACAGUUUCCUAUCUGCCCUGCGUCGCCGUCCCAAUCGCGGACCGAACCACAUACCGCUGGUGAUAUCCUGUGAAGUACGUUUGAUGCAUUUGCCGUCGGUGCACGAGCCGAAUUCGUUGCUA